CGACUGUGCACUUGCAGACACUAGGGUUUAUAAAUUUUAAAAUAUUUUGCGUCAGCAACGCUAGCUUGCAUCAUCAGCUCAGAAGAUGAAUCCCACUAUAGAGCAAGUCUGCCUCCUUCAGGACUGUGAGGGGAAACAAAGUAGUGAUUAUAGUCGUCCAGACAGGAAAACAUUGUAUCGUCCGCGAAAAGGAGGUGAUUAAUCAUGGGACUUCCUUGUGCAACUCUGAUGCUAGGUAAAGUGUCAUCCUUCGGAGCUUUUAAACAUAGACCAGACAGUACUUGUCCACAGAGGAUAAAUAUGAAGGCUGAUUUUCAGAGAUGAUGUCACUCAGAGUAGGCUGUUGCCGCUUGUAUUCCCGAAGAGAAGAAAGUUUGGACCUCUUUGACAAUAGCCGGUCCCACAAUGUCCCAAUUCGACUGAAAGAAAUUGGCAGAGAAACCAUCAGGCCCAGGGGCCUUAUCCGGGUUGAUGGCAAAGGUGGCAUCUUUGACUUCCUCAGGAGAGGGAUCUGAAUUAAGGGCAUCAUUCAUCGAGUUAGAGA